CCAGGAAUAGGUGACCCUCACAGACAUACCUCUGAACACUAAGGUAUCCCCUUAUGUUGGGGCAAUUCCACAGUGACAGAAACUGAUACUAUCCCCUACAAAUAUGGAAGCAUGAGAGACUAUUUCACAAGAACCAUUCAACAGUCAACCAAGCAGAACUCUGGAGCUAGUAGGAAGAAUCAAGAAGGAGAAAGUGACCAUAAGUGAUGCUGUACUGCCACAAGAGAUCUGAUGUCUCCGCACUGCACUUGCAGCACAGUUUGUAAACAUCCACUCUCUUACCUUCUGAUUGGCUUUAAUAACAACCUAGUAAACACAGAAGUGGAUGCUCACAGUCAACUAUUGGAUGGAUCACAGGACCCCCAAUGGAGGAGCUAGAGAAAGUAUCCAAGGAGCUGAAGGGAUCUGCAACCCUAUAGGUGGAACAACAUUAUGA
rnacentral:lncRNA from 1 species